rnacentral:lncRNA from 1 species
AUUUGCAAUUAAUUAGUGGUUAAUGAUGCUCUAUGCUUGAAGCUUAUGCUCUGUUGUUUUUUUUUGUUUGUUUGUUUGUUUUGUUUUGUUUUUUGAUUAUUAUUUAUUUAUUUAUUUUCCCCUGAUACUGUCAUCUAUUAAUUGUUCUUAUUUUUGUUGGCUUUCAGGCAUAGUUCAGUAUUUGUAAUGCUUUCCCUAAUGGAGCUAUUUACAUCCUGGUGUCAAUUCACUUUUCAUUUUGUUUCAAUCAGCUAAAUUAAGUAUACUUUAAAAAUCUCUCACUGUACAAUAUUUUCUUUAGCCAAUCAGAAAUUGAGUCAGAAGGAAACCAAACACAAUCUUCUACAUUUUUUUUUUUUUGUAACUUUUUUUUUUUUUGUCAGAAAUAUAGAAAUAUGUUCCAGGAGUACCAGUGUGCAGAGAUGGAAAACCUCUUGCAUCUCUCAGUUACCCUCUUUCCUGUUCUGCUAAGGAUCUCAUCAGCCUUUCUUUUCUCAGGACCUGGUCAGGAGCCCUUGAUGCAUUUCUCCUCUUUUAUGAUCCCCAGUUCCUUUUCAGGGUUGUUCCCAGCUCUGCCACUAAAGCCUGCAUUCCUGUCUCCCAGCAAGGAGUGGGGCUGUACCACAGCGCCUGCUGUCAGCCCGACCCAUCCAACUAAAACAGAAGGAUCAGUAUGCUGCCAGCAUCCACCUCGUCAUUGUAAACACACAAAGCCCCAAAAAGAAACUGAGCAAAUAUUUCCUAAGGUAAGUGUGAAAAUCUCAGCCCUCGCUGGGCCCUUUCAGAUGAAUUUCUCUGUACAGUUACUAAGCUGAGUAUAUGGAAAAAAAAAAAAAGACCAUGUUUGUUGGUAGUUUUUUCCAGUGGCCUUACUGGAGUUGCCUUUGCUAACCAUUAUUAUACAGAAUUACUCGUGUCAGUGGGUGGCUUGGUUAAGCUUGGCUUCAGAGUUCUCAGGAGCUGGCUUCCUUGUAGUUAAAAAUUGAACAGCCUUCUUUAUUGCUUUAAAACACAAUGAUCAUCUGAGACUGAAAGUGGUUUGCUUGAUGUAUAGACCAUAGUUGUUGACAACAGGAAAAAAAGAGAAACUCAGCUGGUUAAUUUGUUUCUUACUAAUGUGGUGCUGUAUUAUUUGCCUUCCAAGGUCCUUAGAUGAAAUAUUUUUCAAACGUCAGCUCAUCAAGCCUCUGGACAGUCCAUAAAAUGUUGUAUCUGGUUUUGUAUUUAAACCCAACACAUAGUGAAAUGCAUUGCAGAGUCUGGGACAUCAUUUGAAAUAACCAGGUGAAUUUAAGAAAGCUUAAUUAAGAUAUUGUGACAUAGCUAAAAAUCUACUCUUCUGAGCAGUGCUGGGGGAAAUGUAGCAGAAAGAAGACCCUAUUUGUUACAGAUUUUCUUCAUCCAUCUCUCUAGGACAGUAACACUUUUGCUCACCAUGCCUGGGAGCCCUUGUUCCCUUUGAUCACAAUCUCACAGGCUUGCAGUUUCACUUCUCACUCCCGCCGCUCACUCAGAAUUCCUCCUGCAUUUCUCUGCGGUUUGCCAGCUCAGACAAGACUUAUCCAUUGUCAUAUUAUCAUAGAUUUAUUGAGUUUUAAUGUUCUUUAGUAUUUCUUUGAUUAGAAUUGACAAAAAAGGGAAAAUUAAGAAAUAGGAUGUAUUUAUACCCCAUUUGAACUCUGAUGAUUUUCACAGUGUUUUGAUUUGCUGUUAAAUUUCACGUGCUUUCAGCAUUUUGUUAAUUUUUAAAUUGUUGCAGUUUUGAAAAUUAUAUUUCAAUUUAAAAAUAAAAGCACAAACUUGUCUGUAGUUGUACA